rnacentral:rRNA from 1 species
UACGGAGGGUGCAAGCGUUAUUCGGAUUUACUGGGCUUAAAGGGUGUGUAGGCGGGCUUUUAAGUCAGUGGUGAAAUCUCCGGGCUCAACCUGGAAACUGCCAUUGAUACUAUUAGUCUUGAAUUUUGUUGAGGUAGGCGGAAUAAGUCAUGUAGCGGUGAAAUGCAUAGAUAUGACUUAGAACACCAAUUGCGAAGGCAGCUUGCUAAACAAAUAUUGACGCUGAGGCACGAAAGCGUGGGGAUCAAACAGG